UCACCCUUUCUCUGAAAUAUCUUGAGUGGAACCGACACCACGUGUUUGAGAGGGCCACAGCAAAGACAGCUGGAACGUGAAAUCAUGGAGCCAUUUGUCUACUUUGUUGUAUUUUCCCCGGAAGACUGCCGGGGUGAGACUUGAAGCUUUCCCCUUCUCCCAAGGGGCCUCAGAGCAAUAAUUCACCUGGCACAAAGCCUGGCUGCAUAAAGCAGCUUCUGAACCUUUCCCAGGAAGCACUUUAUGCCAUGAAGUCCGUGCCUUUUUUUGUCAGCAGGUUUGAGUCAUUUGCUCAAUACUGCAGAGGGCUGGUGAGCAGCUAGUGGCAACCACACCGCAGCCUGUGGCUUCGCCGGGAGUGCCUGCCAGCCUCUUGGCACGCGCGCAGCGCCGAGAUAAGCUGCAGAAGCAUCGAGCAAAUAUAUUGCUUUCAGAGUUUUGCGGCACUGCCCAAUGUCAAGGAUUAAAACUCCUUUGGAGGAGCGGAGCUCUGCUCCGCCAAAUCCCCUUCUCAUGGUCACUUGAGGAUGUGGUACCAGUAGUGGGAAGCUGGAGGGAUUAAGCUGAGAACAGAACUCUGACACCGCAAGGAUGGGCCACCUCUGGAAAAAGGGGCAGAACUAAACGAUCCCGUCUUUGCCAGGAAACAGAAAAGAUGCAUGUUAUGGCCGUAUCUAAAUUUAACACUAGCAUAAGCCAUGUUAUUCAUGAUUCAUGCAGAAAACGGAAACAAUAUAUUCUUUCUUAGACCUUAACUCUAUAUGGUCUGCUGUUUGGAUGCUUAAUAUCUCAACUUGAAAACAGCAUAAAUGUAAAUUGGUUUAUGAGCAGUAAAGCAUAACUUUUAUAGCAACUGAUGGUAUUUGAAAAGCAAGAGGAAGUAAUUAUCAUUGUUUGUAUCAGCCAUUGCCUUGCAACUACUGUGCAAUUAUGUUCUUGGAUAAUUGAUGUUUCGUAACAGACUGCAUUUUUUCCUUCUAAAAUGUCUCAACUUUGUAUCUUUUAUUUGUUGCAGUGUGAAAAAUCUCGCACAAAGGCAGAUAAAAUCUUAAAAGUUGGGAAACAGGUAAAGGACAAGGUGCUUGCAGAGACAAGCGUGGAAGUUGUGGGCUAUGGGAUGAGUCCUGCACAGUGGAGAAGGUAGGCUUGUUUCUUCCAGUUGUCUUGUUUACUUGUUUUAUUUUAAGUCUAGCUGCUGUUUCCUUUUUUUCCUUGGAGAGGAGUGGUUCCCCUGCAAGAGGGUGACCCCAAAUCUGUAGGAGGGGUGAGCUGGGGCCUCAGAGAAGAAGGGUGAGUGCCCACCACUGAGUAGGCUUGGGAGGUUCAGGUUGGGUGUUAGGGAGUGCCUCUUUCUGCAGAAGA
rnacentral:lncRNA from 1 species